GACAGAGGGUGCAAACGUUGUUCGGAAUUACUGGGCGUAAAGCGCAUGUAGGCGGCCAAGCAGGUCGGAUGUGAAAUCCCUCGGCCCAACCAAGGAAGUGCAUUCGAAACCGCAUGGCUGGAGUCCCGGAGAGGGUAGUGGAAUUCUCGGUGUAGAGGUGAAAUUCGUAGAUAUCGAGAGGAACACCGGCGGCGAAAGCGGCUACCUGGACGAGGACUGACGCUGAGAUGCGAAAGCGUGGGGAGCAAACAGG
rnacentral:rRNA from 1 species